UACGGAGGGUGCAAGCGUUAUCCGGAUUCACUGGGUUUAAAGGGUGCGUAGGUGGGCAGGUAAGUCAGUGGUGAAAUCUCCGGGCUUAACCCGGAAACUGCCAUUGAUACUAUCAGUCUUGAAUACCGUGGAGGUAAGCGGAAUAUGUUAUGUAGCGGUGAAAUGCUUAGAUAUGACAUAGAACACCAAUUGCGAAGGCAGCUUACUACCCGAAUAUUGACACUGAGGCACGAAAGCGUGGGGAUCAAACAGG
rnacentral:rRNA from 1 species